GCGUGCGUGCUGAAUACGUUCUCCACUGUCAAGGAUUUAUUUAUUGUCUUGUUAACUUCUAGCUACCUGCUGCUUGCGUUGCAUUGCAUUGCAUUGUGUGUCAAGUGAUUAAUCAGCGUGCGUGCUGAAUAUGUUCUUCACUGUCUAGGAUUUAUGCUGUGUUUUUUUACUUGUAAUAAAUACUGUUAAAGUAGCCAGCCACUAGGAUCUGAAGCGCUCAAGACCUGUGACAGUUUUGCUUGAUUUUCCUCUUCAUACUAGCUAGUUUCUGAAAGGAUCUUGAUUCAAAUACAUUACAAUCUGCUCAUUUUUUUAUCUCCAAGCAGAGGCUCUAGUAAUGAACUUGCUCUAGUAAUGUAAUAGGCGUGGGACUGUUCUGCAAACUAGCAUGUGUAGUGCAACACAUUAUUCAGUCACCACUUCUUUCCUGCACAUUAGUAGGGUAGCUGCAUAAUCUGUCUAUUUCUCUUUCAUUUAUGUAAAUAGUUGACAUGAUGCCAUAUUGCAGUAUUGCAAGUUAGGAGAAACAAGUUACAAAAAUUGAUUUCUCCACCUGCUGCUUCCAUUCUUAUUAAUCAGUGUGCCAAUAAUGGCAUCUGUUUUGAGGCGACUCCAUCCUGUUCGUGAUAGUAAUUUGUUUAAAACCGCAAGGCAGCUUUGCUUUCUGCAGUAUCUCCUGCCUUGUUUUGUUCUGUCGACUGAGGCCUGAGGCAGAGCAAAGGCUUGCCGAUUAUUGCUUACAACGCCAAGUUGCAAUUAGCUGGGAUGUGUAGCGUGGCUAGCUUGUGUUGAUUGGUUUUGAGAUAUAAUUGGAAACUGAUUGUGUGUCAGUACAACAAGCGUGAUGAUUUUUUUUGAAUAGCAAACAUGCUGAUGGAAGUGUCCUUCCAUACGUGAUUCUAACUUGCACUUCUCGGUCAGAGGCAUCUCCAGUACGUGACACAGUUUGGAUGUGCAAACGAAUAUGUGCGUGUUUCACAUAUUACGUGAGAAAAUUUUGUUAGUUCUCGGCCAUUAUAAUUAGGAUCCACAGCUUGUUUGCCUCGCUUUGGUAGGCUGUUUGGGAACAUAUGUCAUAGAUAGGCGUAGUUUUCUUUUUUUUACAGGUACAUUGCCGUGUAGGAAUUGGACUCAACUCAUUGCUUUGCAUGGCAGUCUAGAAAUCAUAUGGGAUUCUGAACAUGCAAGCAAAUAUGCAGGAGUAAACAAGUUCUUGCAGUAGAUAUUGUAAGUGUUUGUUCUGAACAUGUACUGUCACCGAAGAUAUUGCAAGUGGUCUGACAAGAUUUUCUCAAUUUGCAAGUUUAGUUACUUUUCCAGUUAAUUAACUGGACAUCUUGGAGUAGUUAGAAAAUCAUGAAUUAUUUGCAGAAAUUCGUAGAAGUAUUGUACUCCAGUGUGCAUUACUUACAUAAACUUGCUUGCAAGCUUAUUUUCUGACUUUCAUAUUCUGAAACUGAAAAAGCUUAGUUAAAUUCUAUUAAGUUUCAGUAA